GUUCGAUUAUGGCUCAGAUUGAACGCUGGCGGGAUGCUUUACACAUGCAAAGCUCUGAACGGCAGCACGGACUUCGGUCUGGUGGCGAGUGGCGAACGGGUGAGUAAAAUGUAUCGAAAUCGCGUCGCAGUAGAAGGAUAAUCUCGCGAAAGUAGCUAAUACCGUGCAUACGGCCCUUCGGGAAAAGCGGGGACCUUCGGGCUCCGCACUAUUAGAGCGCCGAUAUCGGAUUACUUAGCCAGCUGGUGGGCAACGCUCACCAAGGCGCGACGAUCCGUAGCUGGUUUGAGAGGACGACCAGCCACACUGGGGACUGAGACACGGCCCAGACUCCAUGGAGGUACGCAGUGGGAAUUUCCUGACAAUGGGGAAACCCCAGGAUCCAGCCAUCCUGCGUGUGCGACAGAAGCACUCGGGUUGUAAAGCACUUUGGCGCAGGAAGGGUGGAACGGCACGGGAUAAUACCCCCGUGCAACGACGGCACCUGCAGAAUAAGCACCGCUUGACCAUGCGCUUUCAGCAGUCAUGGUAACAUGUGUAGGGUGCAAGCGUUAAUCGGAAUUACUGGGCGUAAAGCGUGCGCAGGCGGUUCGGAAGAAAGAUGUGAAAUCCCAGAGCUUAACUUUGAACUGUAUUUAACUACUGAGCUGAGUGGCCAGAGGGAGGAAUUCGCGUGUAGCAGUGAAUGCGUAGAUAUGUGGAGGAACACCGGGAUGGCGAAGGCAGCCUCCUGGGAUAACACUGACGCUCAUGCACGAAAGCGUAGAGCAAACAGGAUUAGAUACCCUGGUAGUCCACGCCCUAAACGAUGUCAACUAGCUGUUGGGGCCUUCGGGCCUUGGUAGCGCAGCUAACGCGUGAAGUUGACCGGCCUGGGGAGUACGGUCGCAAGAUUAAAACUCAAAGGUCUGGAUUUGGGAUCCGCACAAGCGGUGGAUGAUGUGGAUUAAUUCGAUGAAACGCGAAAAACCCAUCUACCCUUUGACAUGUCUAAAUCCCGAAGAGAUUUGGGGAGUGCUCGCAAGAGAACUGAACACAGGUGCUGCAUGGCUGUCGUCAGCUCGUGUCGUGAGAUGUUGGGUUAAGUCCCGCAACGAGCGCAACCCUUGUCAUUAGUUGCUACGUAGGUGUCACCCCCAUCGAGACUGCCGGGCACAAACUGGAGGAAGGUGGGGAUGACGUCAAGUCCUCAUGGCCCUGCGGUAGGGCUUCACACGUCAUACAAUGGUCGGGACAGAGGGUCGCCAACCCGCGAGGGGAGCCAAUCCCAGAAACCCGAUCGUAGUCCGAUCGUAGUCUGCAACUCGACUGCGUGAAGUCGGAAUCGCUAGUAAUCGAUCAGCAUGUCGCGGUGAAUACGUUCCCGGGUCUUGUACAUACUCUGCCUGUCACACCAUGGGAGUGGGUUUUACCAGAAGUAGUUAGCCUAACCGUAAGGAGUGGCGAUUACCACGGUGGUGAUUCAUGACUGCGAAGUCGUUGUAAGGCAG
rnacentral:rRNA from 1 species